rnacentral:rRNA from 1 species
GUGCGGCGGCCACAGCGGAAGGGAAACACCCGGACCCAUACCGAACCCGGCCGUUAAGCCUUCCAGCGCCGAUGGUACUGCCCCCAUGGUGCGGGGCGGGAGAGUAGGACACCGCCGCACC